rnacentral:rRNA from 1 species
GAUGAACGCUGGCGGCGUGCCUAAUACAUGCAAGUCGAGCGAACAGAUGAGAAGCUUGCUUCUCUGAUGUUAGCGGCGGACGGGUGAGUAACACGUGGGUAACCUACCUAUAAGACUGGGAUAACUCCGGGAAACCGGGGCUAAUACCGGAUAAUAUUUUGAACCGCAUGGUUUAAUAGUGAAAGACGGUUUCGGCUGUCACUUAUAGAUGGACCCGCGCCGUAUUAGCUAGUUGGUAAGGUAACGGCUUACCCAGGCGACGAUACGUAGCCGACCUGAGAGGGUGAUCGGCCACACUGGAACGGAGACACGGUCCAGACUCCUACGGGAGGCAGCAGUAGGGAAUCUUCCGCAAUGGGCGAAAGCCUGACGGAGCAACGCCGCGUGAGUGAUGAAGGUCUUCGGAUCGUAAAACUCUGUUGUUAGGGAAGAACAAAUUUGUUAGUAACUGAACAAGUCUUGACGGUACCUAACCAGAAAGCCACGGCUAACUACGUGCCAGCCGCCGCCGUAA